GGCAGGACUAUCUCAGGUUCAAAGCCAGCCUCAACAAUUUAGCAAGGUCUGAAGCAACUAAGUGAAAAACCCUAUCUCUAAAUAAAACAUAAAAAGGGUUGGGGAUGUGACUCAGUGGUUCAGCACCCCUGGUUCAAUCCUGGUGUCAAAAAAGGAAAGGAUUAAUUAAAACUACUUAUUUUACAUAAUUAUCAACAUUCAGAGUUGAAUUAACUUGGAAGGAGGAAGAUUAAUGUGCAAUUAAUAUUUUGGUGACUUUGUGAAUUGGGCAAUUUUUGGUGAGCUAUCCUGAAUGACUACUCAUUUUUUUCUAGAGGAGAAUUUCAUUUUAGAUAAGUGGUUUCAAUGAACUUUUGAAGAAUGAUGGUAAAUCAUACUAAACUCAUUAAACAGAUAGUCUGAAGACUUAAACGUUUUUGAUACAAUUUACAAACCAUGUUAAGCCAGUCUUAUUUUUGACCCCCUUUCUUCUUAUGUCUUUCUAUUGAUGUAUCAAAAACAGUGGUUUUUAUACUUUUUUUCCCCUUUUUGUGUACAACAGAGUGGUUUUUUCAAAUGAAAUGUUUCCAGAAGCCUGAGCUGAAAAGAGAAGAGGAUUGCUGGUUCAAGUAGGGAAGGAGCCCUAGAGCAGGUGUCUUCCAGAGUCCUAUAGCAGCCUCUGUGGCAUCUGUAUAGUUCAGGACAUGGUUUGAAAACUACCCACUUCGAAAUACUUUGUCCCCCAACAGAAGAUAAAAAUAAUGCUACAUUUAAAAGAAAAUUCAGAGGAAAUGACUGUUAUCUUUUCUCCUUAGUUCAAGAUAAAAUACUUGAAAAUACACAGACCUUUUAUAAGGUCUUUUGUGUGUGUUGGGGAGCGUAUUGGUAAUUUAAUCCAGAGUUGCUCUACCACUGAGCUACAUCUUCAGUCUUUUUUAUUUUUUGGGAUAGGAUCUAACAAAGUUGCUGGUCUUGAACUUGUGAUCCUUCUGCCUCAACCUCUGGAAUAGCUGGGAAGGUUUUUAAACAUUCUUGAUUAGCUUAUAUGAAAAGUAUCAGAAAGAAAAUUGUGAUGCAGUGUUUUUUUCUUAAUGUCAACUUAAGAUGUCAUUGACAGAAUGUAGAAUUUGAUUUCUUACUACUUAAUGACACCUCCCCCCAAAGGCAUAUACAAAUGUUUAUUUUGGAAAGUAGAUAACACAUUUAAGAGAGAAUGGGAGCAGUCUCAAAAAAGAGAUGCCUUGGGGUAAAGCAAGGAAUAUUCCUAGGGAGCAUGUGGGUUAUCUCCAGAGGGAGAGACAGCAACCCAUUAGUGUGGGCCACUCAUGUUUAUAGAGGGCAAGUGCUAGGGGAUGAACUAGAGGUGGAGCCAGAGUGGAGCUACACAGUUUUGCACCAGUUUCCCUUUGCUUGUGCAUUUCCUUAACAUGCAUGGGCCAAGGGCAUGUAGCUCAAGAUUGACAAUUGUGCUUUCUGCAUGUCAAUGGCUAGUGGGCAUUUCCUUUAAGACUCUCUCUCUUUAUCCUAAAUCCCUGUGUCCUAUGUAAUGACUUUUAAUAUUAUAUAAUAAGUAUUAUCUUAGAAAACCUGGUUAAAUCAAACUUUAAGAAAUUAAAACGUAUUUAUUCAGAAUAAUGGGUAUAAAUUUUUCUUCUUUUUUAUUUAUUUGUAUCCUCUGUUUUGGAGAAGGUCCCCAAAACACUUCUAGAUUUCUUCUACCCAUCAAAUGUUUGUUCUCUCCCUUCCCAAUAGGAAGCAACUACUAACCGCCUACCUGAGCACAAGUUUCAGAGAAAUUUUAAUCUACCUGUCCUUAACCACCUCAGUUCAUGCUGUCUGUUCAAAUAG
rnacentral:lncRNA from 1 species